GUAAAUCUGUCUUAUGUUAGAAGUGGAAUUGCUGGGUCAAAUAUACCAUGCAUGGUAAAGUCCAGAAUGGUUUAUGUCAUCUCAUUCCAUCUUUCUGAUAACCUUAUAAGGUUAUUUCCUGGCACAGGACAAUUCUGGAAGAAGGUAGAUGAAUCGGGCCUUUCAAGCAAAAGUUCUCAUGCAUUUGCCUAUUCAAACUGGUAGAAUACAACAGCGAACAGGCAAGGUGGAAUUAAAAUCAAGGUCUGAAUCAGUCAACAGAUAUUCAUUGAAUAUCUACUAUAUGCCAAUUUCAGAGCCUCCUUGAGAGACAAUGGGAGAAUGGCUUCAUUC